UGUGAAGUGAUGGAAACUCGACUCACACUAGCUGGGGACAGAGACAGCUCCUGGGCCUCACACCUCUUAGUUUUGCCACCGGAAAGGAAAUGAGUCUUUUUUCAUGGCUCUAUUUGGAAUCAGGUUGCCAAUCAAGUGGAGAAGUGCAUGGAGUAUGUGGACAGGUUAAGCCCGGGAACGAACUAACUGGUGCACAAGAAAGUCUGAGAAUGUGUAACAGUGCAGUUAAGG